UACGUAGGAUGCAAGCGUUAUCCGGAAUGAUUGGGCGUAAAGCGUCCGCAGGUGGCAAUGUAAGUCUGCUGUCAAAGCGUCUGGCUCAACCAGAUAAAGGCAGUGGAAACUACAUAGCUAGAGUAAGGUAGGGGUAGAGGGAAUUCCUGGUGUAGCGGUGAAAUGCGUAGAGAUCAGGAAGAACACCGGUGGCGAAAGCGCUCUGCUGGACCGUAACUGACACUGAGGGACGAAAGCGAGGGGAGCGAAUGGG
rnacentral:rRNA from 1 species